rnacentral:rRNA from 1 species
GACGAACGCUGGCGGCGUGCUUAACACAUGCAAGUCGAACGAAGUGGCGAACGGGUGAGUAACGCGUAAUCAACCUGCCCUUCAGAGGGGGACAACAGUUGGAAACGACUGCUAAUACCCCUUCCUGAUGGAGGGGUUGGCGUUUGUUUGGCCAGUUGGGGGGGGAACGGGCCACCAAGGGGAUGGUCAGUAGCCGGUCGGAGAGGGUGAACGGCCACAGUGGGACUGAGACACGGCCCAGACUCCUACGGGGGGCAGCAGGUGGGAAACUUCCGCAAUGGAGGAAAGUCUGACGGAGCAACGCCGGGUGAGUGAUGACGGCCUUCGGGUUGUAAAGCUCUGUUAAUCGGGACGCGGUACCGGAAUAGAAAGCCACGGCUAACUACGUGCCAGCAGCCGCGGUAAUUC